UGGGUAGUCCGUACGAGCGAAACCUUAUUGUUAGUUGCCAGCGGGUAAUGCCGGGGACUCUAGCGAGACUGCCGUUGUCAAAACGGAGGAAGGUGGGGACGACGUCAAGUCAUCAUGGCCCUUAUGACCGGGGCUACACACGUGCUACAAUGGUCUGUACAAAGGGUUCCGAGACCGCAAGGUGGAGGCAAUCCCAUAAAGCAGGCCCCAGUUCGGAUUGCAGGCUGCAACUCGCCUGCAUGAAGUUGGAAUCGCUAGUAAUCGCGUAUCAGCCAUGACGCGGUGAAUAUGUUCCUGAGCCUUGUACACACCGCCCGUCAAGCCACGAAAGCGAGGAGCGCUCGAAGUCGUUUUGUCCAACCCUCGGGGGGACGACGCCGAAAGCGAGCCUCGUAAUUGGGACUAAGUCGUAACAAGGUAGCCGUAGGGGAACCUGCGGCUGGAUCACCUCCUUUCU
rnacentral:rRNA from 1 species